ensembl:snRNA U1 U1 spliceosomal RNA
AAAUUGAAAUUGAAUUGGUUCACCCAGGGCGAGGCUCAGCCAUUGCACUCCGGCUGUGCUGACCCCUGCGAAUUCCCCAAAUGUGGGAAUCUCGACUGCAUAAUUUAUGGUAGUGGGGGACUGCGUCCGCGCUCUCCCCUG